GGUGGCUCAGUGGUAAAGCACUUGCCUUGCAUGCAUGAGGUCCUGGGUUCAAUUCCUCAGCACCA
rnacentral:tRNA from 1 species